rnacentral:lncRNA from 1 species
UAGCAAGGAAGUGAUGUCAAGGUGCUGAGAACUGCCAAGACGCUCUGGCUUGUGGCAUGUGACACUCUGAGUAGGUAACAGGUACCAGCUACUGUCAGCAGGGAGGAAGGUAUGUGGUGACCACGAGUCCAGACCUGAGGGUCCUGACCCUCUAAUGCGGCCUCUCACCAGUGUUCGCAGAAACCCACCCGCUGAUUCAAUACGGGGACCAGGAACCUGCCAUGACAGUCACGACUCAGUCUGCCUGCACCUACAUGAUUAAAAAGCUUUAUUGCUCACACAAAGCCUGUUUGGUGGUCUCUUCAUAUGGAUGCGCAUAACAUUUGGUGCCGAAGACCCCGGACAGGGUGACUCCUUCGGGAGAUUGGUCCCCUCUCCUCACCCUCACUCCAUGAGAAGAUCCACCUACGACCUCAGGUCCUCAGACCAGCCCAAGGAACAUCUCACCAAUUUCAAACCGGGUAAGCGGUCUCCUCACUCUCUUCUUCAGCCUCUCUCCCUACCCUUCAAUCUCCCUGUCCUUCAAAUUCCAGUUCUUUUUCCUCUCUAGUAGAGACAAAGGAGACACAUUUUAUCCAUGAACUCAAAAACUCCAACAUGGAUCAUGGAUUUGGGAAGACAGCCUUCCUUUGGUGUCUGAUCAUCAUGGGGACACCUACCUUGAUCUUUCACCCACAUUCCAUUUGGUGUCUGAUCACCGGGGGGAUGCCUGCCUUGGUCAUUCACCCACAUUCCCUUGGUGGUAAGUCAAUUGCUGGGACACCAGCUUUGGCUGCUAACCCACAUGACAGCCCAGGGCUGCUCACCUCCCCCCUUCUCCAUGUCUCUACCUUUCUCUUUAAACUUACCUCUUUCACUAUGGGCAACCUUCCACGCUUCAUUCCCCCUUCUUCUCCCUUAGCCUGUGUUCUUAAAACUUAAAACACCUUUGACUAACACCUGAC